rnacentral:tRNA from 1 species
GCUCAAAUAGUUUAAGAAAAAUAUUGGUUUGUGGAGCCGAAGAUAUAAGCUAUUAUUUUGGGCA